rnacentral:rRNA from 1 species
CUACGGGCGGCACCAGUGGGGAAUAUUGGGCAAUGGGCGAAAGCCUGACCCAGCAACGCCGCGUGAUUGAAGAAGGCUUUCGGGUUGUAAAAAUCUGUCCUUGGGGACGAAGAAGUGACGGUACCCAAGGAGGAAGCCCCGGCUAACUACGUGCCAGCAGCCGCGGUAAUACGUAGGGGGCGAGCGUUGUCCGGAAUUACUGGGCGUAAAGGGUGCGCAGGCGGCGCUUUAAGUCAGAUGUGAAAUACCCAGGCUUAACCUGGGGGGUGCAUUUGAAACUGGAGCGCUUGAGUGCAGGAGAGGAAAGUGGAAUUCCUAGUGUAGCGGUGAAAUGCGUAGAUAUUAGGAGGAACACCAGUGGCGAAGGCGACUUUCUGGACUGUAACUGACGCUGAGGCACGAAAGCGUGGGGAGCAAACAGGAUUAGAUACCCGUGUAGUC